rnacentral:sRNA from 1 species
UGCUAUUGUUUACUGCAUCUUGUAACUUGUUGCUUAGUUUUUGCAAUUUUUGCCUGUUACUCGACCUGAUACUCGACCACCCAGUUGUCUGGUAACAGACUGUGCAGUCGAGUAUCUCUGCUAGCAUUUUUGCCUGUUACUCGACUUGUCACUCGACCACAUCCAGCGCUUGGCAACAAGCUGUGUUGGUCGAGUGAUUUUACUGUUCUGCUUGAAUUUCUGUUUCCUGCAUGUUCACUUAGGACUGCUAGAAACCCCAAAACCUGUUAUUGUUUGGCUUGACUCUGUGAACUCUGAUUGCAUCUUAAUUGCUAGCAUCACACCCAUUUGGAUUGACAACCUAAAAUACUACAACGACAUGAUUGGUGUUUUAGGAUAAUUGACUAAAAAGUAAAAACCUAUUAUCUAAUAUCACCGUGUUAACCGUUCCCAGAUUUGAUCUCUAUUUUUCGGUAAUGGAUCUCCAUAUACAAAGGUAAGAUU